AAGAUGUCUUCCCUCUGCUAAUAAUCUGGUUUUCAUGAGCUGCAGCUGCGCCAGCUUCAGAGCCAUUGAUCUAUCAUGUGCAGAGACACAAUUCUUUCCACAAAAAGUGCAUCAAAGCAAUUGCUGUGCUUCAUUGAAGUGUGGGAGAAAAUAGAAAAGCCCUAGCAAAGAAAAUGCUAUAUCCUUUGUUCAAAUUAAAACCUUUGCAUGUCAAAAGAUGUAAAACUGGCCCUAUUGCUUUCAGAUGUUAACACAUGUUUUGAUGGUUAAUGCUGCAUUACAAUGGGAUUUCUAUAGACAUAUGACAGCCACAUCAACACCAAAUGAAUACAUUACAGUUCAGGUUUUUAUUACAAUGAAUACUAAAAAAUGCUUGAGAUGAAAACAAAUGUUCUUUUGCAAAAUUCCAUAAAACUGGAGUGACCCUUGUGGUGCUGAAUGACGAAGGAAACAUCACAAUUAUUGCUAUUCUGUCUUCUAACAGUGUUUCAAUGCUCAAAAAAGAGAAGAGCUCUGAACAGGCUUUCAGAACAAAUAUCAAUAAACCAAAAAGAUCCAGGAAUUGGAAGGAAAAAAGCCACCACACAGACCCCUCGAUCUAAGUAUAUGUUCAACUUUAAACAGAAGUAUGUUCCCAGAUCCUACUGAUAUUUAUGUGUUUAUUAAGAGCUUCAUCCAGAUUGCAGUUACAAUGGCCAGACCAGCUCGUUUUGAAGCAUCACGUCGAGUGGUUUGGCCCUUUAAAAUAUUUCUUUAGCACCUGUCUUCUUUCCCUUGACUAGCUGUUUUGUCCAAAGUGUUUUGAGAAUGAUUGG